CAGCCAGUAUCAUCUCAUGCAUUUGAAAAUCAAUGAUGGGUGAGGCCACGCCGGCGUGAUCAUGAUGAUAUACGACAGUACUGAGUAUUUAUUUUGGGUCUUGUUGCAAGAGGUAGUGUUUGUUUAUAUUUAUCGCCGGUGAGAGUGAAUUUCUGGCGUCGAAAACUUUGAAAUGAGGUGCAUUGGUGCACCGGAUUGUAUUAGCAAUUCGGAGAGAGAGAGAGAGAGAGCAGGCACCGUAGAUUGGGAGGGCAACAGGUUCACAAAACUGUGGGAAUGACAGCUGGUAACCAGCUGUACAUUUCAAGUGUUUGGGCUUCACUUUGACUGUUCACAACACGAGAUGAAGAAAGCUGAUGGAAGGAAGCUGUUAUAAAGUGUAGUGCAAUUUCUUCGAAAGUCAACGUUCCAAAUACGUGCACUUCUAAUGGGAAAUAACCAAAUAGCAAGGACCGAAGCAGGCAGUAACGAAGUGAUGGCGCGGCGUCAAAGCUUAAUGUUAUGGAACUGAUGGGAGUGCCUGGUAGACUAAAUAUGCAUAGAGCUGUAAUCUACAUAGACCGAAGGAGACUUUCUGAACAAAAAAGUCAGUGAUGGAAGCCACCAAAGAAGCAAGAAUAAGUAGUGAGAAAAAGAGAAGAGAGGAAGAACAAGAGAUGAAACAAGAUGAAUAUGGACCUGGGCUGUAUUAGUGCUAUGCAGGUUUAACAGAAAAAGCAAGCUUUAACUUUAACUUGAAUUUCCCAAAAGUUAAAUUAUAAUUAUGUUCUGGUACACUUCGUCUUUAAAAACUAUUAGAGACAGAGGCCUGAAAUUUUGAAAUACUGUCUUAAAACAUGCUUAAUCAAAAAGUAGACUACUCUUGUGACUUAACUCGGAAAAUAAAAUGCUUUUUUGAAUAAAAA